UGGGGAAUAUUGCACAAUGGAGGGAACUCUGAUGCAGCGACGCCGCGUGAGUGAUGAAGGAAUUCGUUUCGUAAAACUCUGUUCUAUGGGAAGAAAAGGACUGUACCAUAGCAGAAAGCUCCGGCUAAAUACGUGCCAGCAGCCGCGGUAAUACGUAUGGAGCGAGCGUUGUCCGGAAUUAUUGGGCGUAAAGGGUGCGCAGGCGGCUUUACAAGUUGGAUGUGAAAUAUUGUGGCUCAACCACAAACGUGCAUCCAAAACUGCAAAGCUUGAGUUAAGGAGAGGUAAGUGGAAUUCCUGGUGUAGCGGUGGAAUGCGUAGAUAUCAGGAGGAAUACCGGUGGCGAAGGCGACUUACUGGACUUAAACUGACGCUCAGGCACGAAAGCGUGGGGAGCAAACAGG
rnacentral:rRNA from 1 species